rnacentral:rRNA from 1 species
CCUACGGGGGGCAGCAGUAGGGAAUAUUGCUCAAUGGGGGCAACCCUGAAGCAGCAACGCCGCGUGGAGGAUGAAGGUUUUCGGAUUGUAAACUCCUUUUGUUAGAGAAGAUAAUGACGGUAUCUAACGAAUAAGCACCGGCUAACUCCGUGCCAGCAGCCGCGGUAAUACGGAGGGUGCAAGGCUUAUUCGGAAUUACUGGGCGUAAAGAGCGCGUAGGCGGGAUAGCAAGUCAGAUGUGAAAUCCUAUGGCUUAACCAUAGAACUGCAUUUGAAACUGUAAUACUAGAGUAUGGAAGAGGUAGGUGGAAUUCUUGGUGUAGGGGUGAAAUGCGUAGAGAUAAAGAGGAAUACUCAUUGCGAAGGCGACCUGCUAGAACAUAACUGACGCUGAUGCGCGAAAGCGUGGGGAGCAAACAGGAUUAGAUACCCCAGUAGUC